rnacentral:lncRNA from 1 species
UCCUCUUGAUCCAUGAGAUGGACAAAAAGAUUCCCCUCUCCCUUUUCUUGAUCUAGUCCAAGGGUUGGAUAAGAAGGAAGAAGAAAGAGAUUAGAUCUCUUAUCUUCUUCUAUGCAUCUUCAGUUUUGCUCUUGAGAAGAGAAAAGAAAAAAAAAUCAGAUGUGAUCUAAUUUCAUCCUCUUCAUGUAGAGCUAUUUGAUUUUCUUGAGAAAAAAAUCAAAAGAUCAUACCGAUUCGAUAAUCUAGGAAGCAAUCUCUGUAAGGAAGCUAGCAUCCUGGUG